AGAGUUUGAUCCUGGCUCAGGAUGAACGCUGACGGCGUGCCUAACACAUGCAAGUCGAGCGAUUCUCUUCGGAGAAGAGCGGCGGACGGGUGAGUAACGCGUGGGUAACCUGCCUCAUACACAUGGAUAACAUACCGAAAGGUAUGCUAAUACAAGAUAAUAUAAGAGAUUCGCAUGGGUCUCUUAUCAAAGCUCCGGCGGUAUGAGAUGGACCCGCGUCUGAUUAGCUAGUUGGUAAGGUAACGGCUUACCAAGGCGACGAUCAGUAGCCGACCUGAGAGGGUGAUCGGCCACAUUGGAACUGAGACACGGUCCAAACUCCUACGGGAGGCAGCAGUGGGGAAUAUUGCACAAUGGGCGAAAGCCUGAUGCAGCAACGCCGCGUGAGCGAUGAAGGCCUUCGGGUCGUAAAGCUCUGUCCUCAAGGAAGAUAAUGACGGUACUUGAGGAGGAAGCCCGGCUAACUACGUGCCAGCAGCCGCGGUAAUACGUAGGGGGCUAGCGUUAUCCGGAUUUACUGGGCGUAAAGGGUGCGUAGGUGGUUUCUUAAGUCAGGAGUGAAAGGCUACGGCUCAACCGUAGUAAGCUCUUGAAACUGGGAAACUUGAGUGCAGGAGAGGAAAGUGGAAUUCCUAGUGUAGCGGUGAAAUGCGUAGAUAUUAGGAGGAACACCAGUAGCGAAGGCGGCUUUCUGGACUGUAACUGACACUGAGGCACGAAAGCGUGGGGAGCAAACAGGAUUAGAUACCCUGGUAGUCCACGCCGUAAACGAUGAGUACUAGGUGUCGGGGGUUACCCCCUCGGUGCCGCAGCUAACGCAUUAAGUACUCCGCCUGGGGAGUACGCUCGCAAGAGUGAAACUCAAAGGAAUUGACGG
rnacentral:rRNA from 1 species